AUGAACGCUGGCGGCGUGCCUAAUACAUGCACGUCGAGCGAACGGACGAGAAGCUUGCUUCUCUGAUGUUAGCGGCGGACGGGUGAGUAACACGUGGAUAACCUACCUAUAAGACUGGGAUAACUUCGGGAAACCGUAGCUAAUACCGGAUAAUAUUUUGAACCGCAUGGUUCAAAAGUGAAAGACGGUCUUGUUGUCACUUAUAGAUGGAUCCGCGCUGCAUUAGCUAGUUGGUAAGGUAACGGCUUACCAAGGCAACGAUGCAUAGCCGACCUGAGAGGGUGAUAGGCCACACUGGAACUGAGACACGCUCCAGACUCCUACGGGAGGCAGCAGUAGGGAAUCUUCCGCAAUGGGCGAAAGCAUGACGGAGCAACGCCGCGUGAGUGAUGAAGGUCUUCGGAUCGUAAAACUCUGUUAUUGGGGAAGAACAUAUGUGUAAGUAACUGUGCACAUCUUGACGGUACCUAAUCAGAAAGCCACGGCUAACUACGUG
rnacentral:rRNA from 1 species